UACGUAGGGUGCAAGCGUUGUCCGGAAUUAUUGGGCGUAAAGAGCUCGUAGGCGGUCUGUCGCGUCGGCUGUGAAAAACCCGGAGCUCAACUCCGGGCCUGCAGUCGAUACGGGCAAACUGGAGUGUUGCAGGGGAGACUGGAAUUCCUGGUGUAGCGGUGAAAUGCGCAGAGUAUCAAGGAGGAACACCGGUGGCGAAGGCGGGUCUCUGGGCAACAACGUGACGCUGGAGGAGCGAAAGCGUGGGGAGCGAACAGGA
rnacentral:rRNA from 1 species